rnacentral:rRNA from 1 species
UAGGGAAUCUUCCACAAUGGACGCAAGUCUGAUGGAGCAACGCCGCGUGAGUGAAGAAGGUUUUCGGAUCGUAAAGCUCUGUUGUUGGUGAAGAAGGAUAGAGGCAGUAACUGGCCUUUAUUUGACGGUAAUCAACCAGAAAGUCACGGCUAACUACGUGCCAGCAGCCGCGGUAAUACGUAGGUGGCAAGCGUUGUCCGGAUUUAUUGGGCGUAAAGCGAGCGCAGGCGGAAGAAUAAGUCUGAUGUGAAAACCCUCGGCUUAACCGAGGAAUUGCAUCGGAAACUGUUUUCUUGAGUGCAGAAGAGGAGAGUAGAACUCCAUGUGUAGCGGUGGAAUGCGUAGAUAUAUGGAAGAAUACCAGUGGCGAAGGCGGCUCUCUGGUCUGCAACUGACGCUGAGGCUCGAAAGCAUGGGUAGCGAACAGGAUUAGAUACCCUGGUAGUCCAUGCCGUAAACGAUGAGUGCUAAGUGUUGGGAGGCUUCCGCCUCUCAGUGCUGCAGCUAACGCAUUAAGCACUCCGCCUGGGGGAGUACGACCGCAAGGUUGAAAC